rnacentral:rRNA from 1 species
GUGCCAGCCGCCGCGGUAAUACCGGCAGCCCGAGUGAUGGCCGAUCUUAUUGGGCCUAAAGCGUCCGUAGCUGGCCAUGCAAGUCCAUCGGGAAAUCCACCCGCUUAACGGGUGGGCGUCCGGUGGAAACUGCAUGGCUUGGGACAGGAAGGCUCGAGGGGUACGUUCGGGGUAGGAGUGAAAUCCCGUAAUCCUGAACGGACCGCCGAUGGCGAAAGCACCUCGAGAGGACUGAUCCGACAGUGAGGGACGAAAGCUAGGGUCUCGAACCGGAUUAGAAACCCGGGUAGUCC